AGCAGCCGCGGUAAUUCCAGCUCCAAUAGCGUAUAUUAAAGUUGUUGCAAUUAAAAAGCUCGUAGUUGAAUUUCGAGAUCAAAUUGUUGGUCGUGCCUCGGUACGUACUGGCAUUAUUGAUUUCUCCUUUCUGAAGAACCUUGAUGUCAUUAAUUUGGUGUCUUGGGGAAUCAGGACCGUUACUUUGAAAAAAUUAGAGUGUUUAAAGCAGGCUCACGCUUGAAUACAUUAGCAUGGAAUAAUGAAAUAGGACGUUUGAUUCUAUUUUGUUGGUUUCUAGGAUCGACGUAAUGAUUAAUAGGGAUAGUUGGGGGCAUUAGUAUUCAAUUGUCAGAGGUGAAAUUCUUGGAUUUAUUGAAGACUAACUACUGCGAAAGCAUUUGCCAAGGAUGUUUUCAUUAAUCAAGAACGAAAGUUAGGGGAUCGAAGACGAUCAGACACCGUCGUAGUCUUAACCAUAAACUAUGCCGACUAGGGAUCGGAUGAUGUAAUUUUUAA
rnacentral:rRNA from 1 species